rnacentral:rRNA from 1 species
ACGUUAGCGGCGGACGGGUGAGUAACACGUGGGUAACCUACCUAUAAGACUGGGAUAACUUCGGGAAACCGGAGCUAAUACCGGAUAAUAUUUCGAACCGCAUGGUUCGAUAGUGAAAGAUGGUUUUGCUAUCACUUAUAGAUGGACCCGCGCCGUAUUAGCUAGUUGGUAAGGUAACGGCUUACAAAGGCGACGAUACGUAGCCGACCUGAGAGGGUGAUCAGCCACACUGGAACUGAGACACGGUCCAGACUCCUACGGGAGGCAGCAGCC